rnacentral:rRNA from 1 species
AACGAACGCUGGCGGCAGGCCUAACACAUGCAAGUCGAGCGCCCCGCAAGGGGAGCGGCAGACGGGUGAGUAACGCGUGGGAAUCUACCCAUCUCUACGGAAUAACGCAUGGAAACGUGUGCUAAUACCGUAUACGUCCUUCGGGAGAAAGAUUUAUCGGAGAUGGAUGAGCCCGCGUUGGAUUAGCUAGUUGGUGGGGUAAAGGCCUACCAAGGCAACGAUCCAUAGCUGGUCUGAGAGGAUGAUCAGCCACACGGGGACUGAGACACGGCCCAGACUCCUACGGGAGGCAGCAGUGGGGAAUAUUGGACAAUGGGCGCAAGCCUGAUCCAGCCAUGCCGCGUGAGUGAUGAAGGCCCUAGGGUUGUAAAGCUCUUUCACCGGUGAAGAUAAUGACGGUAACCGGAGAAGAAGCCCCGGCUAACUUCGUGCCAGCCGCCGCCGUAACAC